AAGGAUCUCUUCUGAAGAUCCCCUCCUAUGGAGUUUUGUAGUGAGCACAGUGUAUGGGGUAUAUUUGUGAUGCCUCAGAAGAAAGUGUGCAGCUACCUGGGAGUAGAGAGCUCUUGCAAGUAAACCUGUAGAGUAAGGACUCAGAGUGGAACUGCUGUCUAUUCACUGGUUCAUCUGAGGACUAAGCCUUGAGGGAAAAAGUUGAAGUGUGAAGCCUGAAGGUGAGCCUAGACGUAGCAGACACCAAGUUGAACAGCAAGCAAUGUGAUUUUUCAAAAAUGAGCCUUGUACAGAUUAGUGUAUUUUAUCAGUAGUUCACAUGCUCAUAACUUGAUGCUGAUUUUCUCUGUACUUAGUGAGAAGAGCUAGGGACUGUACAAGUGUUCCUUCAGCUGAAGUCAUAGUACUACGUUGAAAUUUUGACUAGCAAAGCAAGGCAGUAUGAGAUCAAGGGUAAGAAUACAGAAAUUUCUGCCUUCAUGCAAAAGCAUUUUGUAAAAAUAUUUUGCAAAAAUAUUCUGCUAAAAGCAUUUAAUUUUAGUAGUGCUGUUAUUGGGUAACCAUAAUGAAAUUACCACCUUGUUCAGAGCUUGGUCUUCCAGUAAUUUGAAGUGAACAUGUCAGAAACACACUGCCAGCAAAAAUAUAUUUCAGUUCUAGCUGGGUACAAGAUGUGUUUCUACUGUGUUAGCUGGCUAAUGGGCUGUGAGGCUUGUAGAGAUAGCAAUGCACAUAACAGCCUGUAUAUUAGUUAAACUACGACUUCGGUAAAUACUUCUGGGAAGACUUCAUUGUUGUGAUUAAAAUAUUUACAAGCAAAAAUAUCUAUGUUUUUUGACGUAUCUCUGUUCAGGGGUGUUACUCAAACAUUUUGAGUAACAUCUGAUUUUUCCAAAACUAUUGUUUGGCAAAGUGUCUGGGGAUUUCAUUAGUUCACUGAACUUUAGCUUCUGGGUUUGUGUAGAAGCUACUAGGAAACAUUCAUAUUAACUUCUGGAAAAUAUGGUACAUUGUUAUGUAAACUCGUCGUCUUGUAAA